rnacentral:rRNA from 1 species
CCUACGGGGGCAGCAGUGGGGAAUAUUGGACAAUGGGCGAAAGCCUGAUCCAGCCAUGCCGCGUGUGUGAAGAAGGCCUUCGGGUUGUAAAGCACUUUCAGUGGGGAAGAAAGCCUUGGGGCUAAUACCCUCGAGGAAGGACAUCACCCACAGAAGAAGCACCGGCUAACUCCGUGCCAGCAGCCGCGGUAAUACGGAGGGUGCGAGCGUUAAUCGGAAUUACUGGGCGUAAAGCGCGCGUAGGCGGUCUGAUAAGCCGGUUGUGAAAGCCCCGGGCUCAACCUGGGAACGGCAUCCGGAACUGUCAGGCUAGAGUGCAGGAGAGGAAGGUAGAAUUCCCGGUGUAGCGGUGAAAUGCGUAGAGAUCGGGAGGAAUACCAGUGGCGAAGGCGGCCUUCUGGACUGACACUGACGCUGAGGUGCGAAAGCGUGGGUAGCAAACAGGAUUAGAUACCCUUGUAGUC